ensembl:lncRNA
CCCCCAAAAUCAAGAUCCACCAAAUCCCCCCCUUGGUCCAAGUGGGUCAGAGCGUCACUUUGUCCCCCCACCCCACCAUCCCCACCUACAACUUGUGUUCCUGGUUCCGGACCCACGGGACCCCUUACCAUAAAGAGAUCGGAUCCAUCUUCUUUCCCAACCCUAAAAUGGUUCCGGGUCCGGCCUAUACUAAAAAGGAACAGAUCCGGAUGAAGGGCUGCACUCUGACCAUCUCUGACUUAAAGCCUGAGGACAACGGGAUGUACACGGUCCUCAUCCGGGAUCCCAGGAUCAUCAGCAGCUACAUGGAACUCACGGUCUAUGGUGAAUCCCAGCCCCUAUCAAUGCCGGCGGUGUCCCCAUUGGAGGUGCUGGUGGUGGAAGACAAGAACUUCACCCUGUCCUGCCGCCCCCCGCCGGGUUGGUUGCGGAUGUGGUGGCAGCGCGGGGCGGCCAUCUUGGAACCCAACGACCGGAUGCUGAUGGCGCGGGACAACAGGACGUUGACGGUAACGCAAACGUGGCGCAGCGACGCCGGGCAAUAUGGCUGCCACGUCCAGAACCCCAUCAGCCACAACUACAGCAGGGAGGUCAACCUCAGCGUGGCCUGUGAGUGGGGUUGUGUUGUUGUGUUGUUGUGUUGUGUUGUUAUGGGGUUGUGUUGUAUUGUGGUGUUGUGUUAUGGGGUUGUGUUGUUGUGGGGUUGUGUUGUUGUGUUGUGUUGUUGUGUUGAGUUGUUGAGUUGCUUUAGGGUUGUGUUGUGUUGUUGUGGGGUUGUGUGGUUGUGUUGUGUUGUUGUGGGGUUGUGUUGUUAUGGGGUUGUGUUGUUGUGUUAUUGUGUGGUUGUGUUGUUGUGUUGUUGUGGGGUUGUGUUGUUGAGUUGUUAGGCUGCUAUGAGGUUGUGUUGUUGUGGGGUUGUUGUAUUGUGGUGUUGUGUUGUUGUGUUGUUGUGGGGGUGUUGUUGUGUUGUGUUGUUGUGGGGUUGUGUUGAGUUUUUGAGUUGCGUUAGGGUUGUGUUGUGUUGUUUUGGGGUUGUGUUGUGUUGUGUUGUUGUGUUGUUGUGGGGUUGUAUUGUUGAGUUGUUGUGUCGUUGUGGGGUUGUGUUGAGUUGUUGAGUUGCUUUAGGGUUGUGUUGUUGUGUUGUUGUGUUGUUGUGUUGUUGUGGGGUUGUGUUGUGUUGCUGUGAGGUUGUGUGGUUGUGUUGUGUUGUGAGGUUGUGUUUUUGUGGGGUUGUGUUGUUGUGUUGUUGUGUUAUUGUGUGGUUGUGUUGUUGUGUUGUGUUGUUAUGGGGUUGUGUUGUUGUGUUGUUGUGGGGUUGCUGUAUUGUGGGGUUGUUGAUGCCGGGCAAUAUGGCUGCCACGUCCAGAACCAGUCACACAAUACAGAGGGAGGUCACUCAGCGUGGCCUGUGAGUGGGGUUGUGUUGUUUGUGUUGUUGUGUUGUUGAGUUGCUAUGGGUUGUGUUGCGUUGCUGUGGGGUUGUGAAGUUGUGGUUGUGGUGGUGUUCGUUGUGUUGUGUUGUUGUGUUGUGUUGUUGUGUUGUUGUGGGGUUGUGUUGUUUGUGUUAUUGUGUGGUUGUGUUGUGGUUGUUGUUGUUGUGUUGUGGGGUUGUUGUAUGUGGGGUUGUGUUGUGGGGUUGUGUUGUUUGUGGGGUUGUUUGUGUUGUUGUGUUGUUGUGUUGAGUUGUUGAGUUUGCUUUAGGGUUGUGUUGUGUUGUUGUGGGGUUGUGUUGUGUUGUAUUGUGGGGUUGUGUUGUUGAGUUGUGUUGUGUUGUGGGGUUGUGUGGUUGUCUUGUUGUGUUGUGGGGUUGUGUUGUUGUGUUGUUAUGGGGUUGUGUAGUUGUGUUGUUGUGAGGUUGUGUGUUGUUUGUGUUGUUUGUGUUGUGUU